AAGCCAGGACCGGCCUCAGCCGCAAUCAGACUGGGAGGUGGCUGCGGAGCGCCCGCCUACUUCCGGGGCGGGGCGCGCGUGGCUGACCCCGCCCCCCGACUUCCGCCUCCCGGCGCCUUGUAGUUGGGAGCGUAGGGCAGCUUGAGGUCCCCAAGUUUGAAGACAGGUGCCAUGGGUGUUGGUGACCCAAAAAGGUGCACUUGAAGCGCUUGACUGGGCUGGACAUGAAUCACACUGAAGAAAGCCGUCACAUGCCCGCCAGUGUCAUCAUGUUGUGAAACUUUAAUGAGAUGAGGUGACUCAGAUGGUGAAGAAUCUGCGUGCAAGACAGGAGACCUGGGUUCAAACCCUGGGUAGGGAAGAUCCCCUGGAGAAGAGAAUGGCAACACGCUCCAGUAUUCUCGCCUGGAGAAUCCCAUGGACGGAGAAGCCUGGUGGGCUACAGUCUAUGGGGUCGCAAAGAGUUGGAUAUGACUGAGUGACUAACACUUAAUGAGAUGAAGACUUGUACUUUGGGGAUUUACCUAAAAAAUUAUCACCCUUCAUCCUGAUAAACAGAAUCCUUUCUCAUAUGCAGUUUAGUCCUUUUGCUCCUGUACAUGUAUCUGUAUCGACCUUGAGCUGGGUCCUGGGCUAAUUAGUAGGAUGUCGGACACGACUGAGUGUCUUCACUUUCACUUUUCACUUUGAUGCAUUGGAGAAGGAAAUGGCAACCCACUCCAGUGUUCUUGCUUGGAGAAUCCCAGGGACAGGGGAGCCUGGUGGGCUUCCGUCUAUGGGGCCGCACAGAGUCGGACACGACUGAAGUUACUUAGCAGCAGAAAUGAAUAAGUUGGGACUUCCUUGGUGGUCCAGGGGUUAAGCCUCUGAGAUUCCGCUGUAGGGGGAGAUUCCUCUGUAGGGAGAGAUUCCGCUGUAGGGGGCGGGAGUUCCAUCCUGGGUGGGAAACUAAGAUCCUGCUUGUCAAGCAGCCAAAGAAAAAUGAAAGAAAUGAAUAAGUCAAGGGCUGUCAGAUACUGCAGUUAAAUAAAGAGUUAAAACGUUUUUCUUAAAAUA